rnacentral:rRNA from 1 species
AUACGUAGGGGGCGAGCGUUGUCCGGAAUUACUGGGCGUAAAGGGUGCGUAGGCGGCCAAUUAAGUCAGAUGUGAAAUACCACGGCUUAACCGUGGGGGUGCAUUUGAAACUGUUUGGCUUGAGUGCAGGAGAGGAAAGCGGAAUUCCUAGUGUAGCGGUGAAAUGCGUAGAGAUUAGGAGGAACACCAGUGGCGAAGGCGGCUUUCUGGACUGUAACUGACGCUGAGGCACGAAAGCGUGGGUAGCGAACAGGAUUAGAUACCCUGGUAGUCCACGCCGUAAACGAUGGAUACUAGGUGUAGGGGGUAUCGACCCCCUCUGUGCCGGAGUUAACGCAAUAAGUAUCCCGCCUGGGGAGUACGUGCGCAAGCAUGAA